GUGGCGAACGGGUGAGUAACACGUGGGUAAUCUGCCCUGUACUCUGGGAUAAGCCUGGGAAACUGGGUCUAAUACCGGAUAUGACCUUUCACCGCAUGGUGGGGGGUGGAAAGUUCCGGCGGUAUGGGAUGAACCCGCGGCCUAUCAGCUUGUUGGUGGGGUAAUGGCUCACCAAGGCUACGACGGGUAGCUGGUCUGAGAGGAUGGCCAGCCACAUUGGGACUGCGACACGGCCCAGACUCCUACGGGAGGCAGCAGUGGGGAAUAUUGCACAAUGGGCGCAAGCCUGAUGCAGCGACGCCGCGUGAGGGAUGACGGCCUUCGGGUUGUAAACCUCUUUCGCCAGGGACGAAGCGCGAGUGACGGUACCUGGAUAAGAAGCACCGGCUAACUACGUGCCAGCAGCCGCGGUAAUACGUAGGGUGCGAGCGUUGUCCGGAAUUAUUGGGCGUAAAGAGCUCGUAGGCGGUUUGUCGCGUCGGCUGUGAAAUCUGGAGGCUUAACCUUCAGCGUGCAGUCGAUACGGGCAGACUUGAGUUCGGCAGGGGAGACUGGAAUUCCUGGUGUAGCGGUGAAAUGCGCAGAUAUCAGGAGGAACACCGGUGGCGAAGGCGGGUCUCUGGGCCGAUACUGACGCUGAGGAGCGAAAG
rnacentral:rRNA from 1 species